GACUGGCUGGCCGCUUCGGCUGCCACCACACCCGCUUGCCUACGACGCGGCUUCACCACCCUGGCCUUACUCAUCGCAUGGGAGAUCUGGAAGCAACGCAACGCAUGUGUCUUAGACACCGCCCGACCAUCCUUCUCUAGGACCUUGGCGACGAUCAGGGAGGAAGCCCGCGGCUGGGCUCAUGCGGGCGCCCUAGGACUCGGCCUCAUCCUGCCCGAGGAGUAUAGUUCUUUUCUCCUUUGGGGAUGCGUACACCCCUUUCUGUUGUAUGCAUAA
rnacentral:rRNA from 1 species